AUUGAACGCUGGCGGCAGGCCUAACACAUGCAAGUCGAGCGAGGGGCGGACGGGUGAGUAAUGUAUGGGGAUAUGCCCGAUAGAGGGGGAAAACUAGUGGAAAGGGUGGCUAAUACCGCAUACUAUAAUAUGAACCCAUAUGGGAUUAGCGAGUAGGUGGGGUAAAGGCUCAACUAGGCGAAGAUCUCUAGCUGGUCUGAGAGGAUGAUCAGCCACACUGGGACUGAGACACGGCCCAGACUCCUACGGGAGGCAGCAGUGGGGAAUAUUGCACAAGGGGCGCAAGCCUGAUGCAGCCAUGCCGCGUGUAUGAAGAAGGCCUUAGGGUUGUAAAGUACUUUCAGCGGGGAGGCGUUACCCACAGAAGAAGCACCGGCUAACUCCGUGCCAGCCGCCGCGGUAAUAC
rnacentral:rRNA from 1 species